UACGUAGGGGGCUAGCGUUGUCCGGAAUCAUUGGGCGUAAAGCGCGUGUAGGCGGCCCGGUAAGUCCGCUGUGAAAGUCGGGGGCUCAACCCUCGAAUGCCGGUGGAUACUGUCGGGCUUGAGUACGGAAGGGGCAACUGGAAUUCUCGGUGUAGCGGUGAAAUGCGUAGAUAUCGAGAGGAACACCUGCGGCGAAGCGGGUUGCUGGGCUGACACUGACGCUGAAGUGCGAAAGCUAGGGGGAGCGAACGGG
rnacentral:rRNA from 1 species